AAGUCGUAACAAGGUUUCCGUAGGUGAACCUGCGGAAGGAUCAUUAACAAAUCCAUGUUGUUGGUGUUUUGAUUGUCUUUGCUGGUGUGCAUAUCAUGUUUGUUCAUUCUGUUCAAAAUAUGUGUGUACAUUAAUGAGGCAUUCAUUACAAACAAACACAUUAGUUCCAUAUAUGUGUACUACAUAUUCGUUCAUUCGUCUUGUGUGCACAUAUAUUGUGAUACAUUUCUACGAAUCGUCUGAUUUAUUCAUUUCAAAUCAUAUUAAACAAUAA
rnacentral:misc_RNA from 1 species